GAGAAUAACGUAACUUGGUAUUUUAACGUAACAUGUUAUAACAAGAAUAUCUGUGGCAAGAGCUCUUUUCAGUCUCUGCUUUCUAUCCUCGUGAUUAUUGGAGUUGGAAAAUGAGCCUAUUUUCAAAAAAAGUGGAGUGUUCCUUUAAGACGAUCAUUGAGCCAGAAAAGCCACAUGAAAGUCAAGGUUCUAGCAAGGGCAGGUCUGCCAAGAAAGGCCGCCCCUCCGCUAAAGUCACCCCUAAACCCCACUUGGAAAGUGGCGAGGACAAAAAUGAGUUCUGGACCCUGUACGGCUUGGUAUGCAACUCCACUCAACGUCAUUCACUGAACCUCUGCGGACUGACCUGCGACAAGCUGCUUGAGGUCCUUAUAAAUAAAAUGACUGCAGUGAUUCCUGACCCCGAAACUGCUAAACACAUCCA